CCUACGGGUGGCAGCAGUGGGGGAUAUUGCACAAUGGGGGGAACCCUGAUGCAGCGACGCCGCGUGGGUGAAGGAGUGCUUCGGCAUGUAAAGCCCUAUCGGCAGGGAAGAAGCAAGACGGUACCUGACUAAGAAGCCCCGGCUAACUACGUGCCAGCAGCCGCGGUAAUACGUAGGGGGCGAGCGUUAUCCGGAUUCACUGGGUGUAAAGGGUGCGUAGGCGGAUUUUUAAGUCAGCGGUAAAAUGUCCGGGCUCAACCCGGGCCGGCCGUUGAAACUGGGGAUCUUGAGUGGGCGAGAAGUAUGCGGAAUGCGUGGUGUAGCGGUGAAAUGCAUAGAUAUCACGCAGAACUCCGAUUGCGAAGGCAGCAUACCGGCGCCCGACUGACGCUGAGGCACGAAAGCGUGGGGAUCGAACAGGAUUAGAUACCCCUGUAGUC
rnacentral:rRNA from 1 species